UACGGGGGGGGCAAGCGUUGUUCGGAAUUACUGGGCGUAAAGGGCUCGUAGGCGGCCAACUAAGUCCGACGCGAAAUCCCCAGGCUUAACCUGGGAACUGCGUCGGAUACUGGAUGGCUUGAAUUCGGGAGAGGGAUGCAGAAUUCCAGGUGUAGCGGUGAAAUGCGUAGAUAUCUGGAGGAAUACCGGUGGCGAAGGCGGCAUCCUGGACCGACAUUGACGCUGAUGAGCGAAAGCUAGGGGAGCAAACGGG
rnacentral:rRNA from 1 species